rnacentral:rRNA from 1 species
GGAUAACCUACCCUUAGGACUGGGAUAACCCUGGGAAACUGGGGAUAAUACUAGAUAGGCAAUUUUUCCUGGAAUGGUUUUUUGUUUAAAUGUUUUUUCGCCUAAGGAUGGGUCUGCGGCCGAUUAGGUAGUUGGUUAGGUAACGGCUUACCAAGCCAUUGAUCGGUACGGGUUGUGAGAGCAAGAGCCCGGAGAUGGAACCUGAGACAAGGUUCCAGGCCCUACGGGGUGCAGCAGGCGCGAAACCUCCGCAAUGUGAGAAAUCGCGACGGGGGGAUCCCAAGUGCCAUUCUUAACGGGAUGGCUUUUCAUUAGUGUAAAGAGCUUUUGGAAUAAGGGCUGGGCAAGACCGGUGCCAGCCGCCGCGGUAACACCGGCAGCUCUAGUGGUAGCAGUUUUUAUUGGGCCUAAAGCGUCCGUAGCCGGUUUAAUAAGUCUCUGGUGAAAUCCUGUAGCUUAACUGUGGGAAUUGCUGGAGAUACUAUUAGACUUGAGACCGGGAGAGGUUAGAGGUACUCCCAGGGUAGAGGUGAAAUUCUGUAAUCCUGGGAGGACCGCCUGUUGCGAAGGCGUCUAACUGGAACGGUUCUGACGGUGAGGGACGAAAGUUAGGGGCGCGAACCGGAUUAGAUACCCGGGUAGUCCUAACUGUAAACGAUGCGGACUUGGUGUUGGGGUGGCUUUGAGCUGCUCCAGUGCCGAAAGGGAAGCUGUUAAGUCCGCCGCCUGGGAA